rnacentral:rRNA from 1 species
UACAGAGGUCCCGAGCGUUGUUCGGAUUCACUGGGCGUAAAGGGUGCGUAGGUGGUUAGGUAAGUCCGAUGUGAAAUCUCCAGGCUCAACCUGGAAAUGGCAUUGGAUACUAUUUAGCUUGAGGAGUGGAGGGGGGACUGGAAUUCCCGGUGUAGUGGUGGAAUGCGUAGAUAUCGGGAGGAACACCAGUGGCGAAGGCGGUUGCCUGGGGCUUUGCUGACGCUGAUGCGCGAAAGCGUGGGGAGCGAUCCGG